rnacentral:misc_RNA from 1 species
GAUCAUUAGCGCGCAGGCCGGAGGCUGGCCCCCCACGAUAGGGCCAAACGUCCGUCAGGGGUGAGCAGAUGUGCGCCGGCCGUACCGCCCCAUUCUUGUCUACAUUACUCGGUUGCCUCGGCGGGCCGCGCUCUCCCAGGAGAGCCGUUCGGCGAGCCUCUCUUUAGUGGCUAAACGCUGGACCGCGCCCGCCGGAGGACAGACGCAAAAAAAUUCUUUCAGAAGAGCUGUCAGUCUGAGCGUUAGCAAGCAAAAAUCAGUUAAAACUUUCAACAACGGAUCUCUUGGUUCCGGCAUCGAUGAAGAACGCAGCGAAAUGCGAUAAGUAAUGUGAAUUGCAGAAUUCCGUGAAUCAUCGAAUCUUUGAACGCACAUUGCGCCCCCUGGCAUUCCGGGGGGGCAUGCCUGUUCGAGCGUCAUUUCAGCCCCUCAAGCCCGGCUUGUGUGAUGGACGACCGUCCGGCGCCCCCGUCUUUGGGGGUGCGGGACGCGCCCGAAAAGCAGUGGCCAGGCCGCGAUUCCGGCUUCCUAGGCGAAUGGGCAACAAACCAGCGCCUCCAGGACCGGCCGCCCUGGCCUCAAAAUCUGUUUUAUACUUAUCAGGUUGACCUCGGAUCAGGUAGG